rnacentral:rRNA from 1 species
CCUACGGGAGGCAGCAGUGAGGAAUAUUGGUCAAUGGGCGAGAGCCUGAACCAGCCAAGUCGCGUGAGGGAGUACUGCCCUAUGGGUUGUAAACUUCUUUUAUAUGGGAAUAAAACAGGGUAUGCAUACCCUCUUGUAUGUACCAUAUGAAUAAGGAUCGGCUAACUCCGUGCCAGCAGCCGCGGUAAUACGGAGGAUCCGAGCGUUAUCCGGAUUUAUUGGGUUUAAAGGGAGCGUAGGUGGAUUGUUAAGUCAGUUGUGAAAGUUUGCGGCUCAACCGUAAAAUUGCAGUUGAAACUGGCAGUCUUGAGUACAGUAGAGGUGGGCGGAAUUCGUGGUGUAGCGGUGAAAUGCUUAGAUAUCACGAAGAACUCCGAUUGCGAAGGCAGCUCACUGGACUGCAACUGACACUGAUGCUCGAAAGUGUGGGUAUCAAACAGGAUUAGAUACCCUGGUAGUC